CCUACGGGGGGCAGCAGUAGGGAAUAUUGCUCAAUGGGGGAAACCCUGAAGCAGCAACGCCGCGUGGAGGAUGAAGGUUUUCGGAUUGUAAACUCCUUUUGUUAGAGAAGAUAAUGACGGUAUCUAACGAAUAAGCACCGGCUAACUCCGUGCCAGCAGCCGCGGUAAUACGGAGGGUGCAAGCGUUACUCGGAAUCACUGGGCGUAAAGAGCGCGUAGGCGGGAUAGCAAGUCAGAUGUGAAAUCCUAGGGCUUAACCAUAGAACUGCAUUUGAAACUGUUAGUCUAGAGUAUGGGAGAGGUAGGUGGAAUUCUUGGUGUAGGGGUGAAAUCCGUAGAGAUCAAGAGGAAUACUCAUUGCGAAGGCGACCUGCUAGAACAUAACUGACGCUGAUGCGCGAAAGCGUGGGGAGCAAACAGGAUUAGAUACCCGUGUAGUC
rnacentral:rRNA from 1 species